rnacentral:tRNA from 1 species
GGUAGCAUGGCCAAGCGGUCUAAUGUGCUGGAUUUGAGCUCCAACCUGCGGGGAUGUGGAUUCGAAACCCACCGCUGCCA